GUCGUGGUCACCGGUGGCAGCUCGGGAGCUCGGCCGAGUCGGUCUGGACUGACCGCCUCCCUCCGCGCGGCCUUGGGGACAGGCGCCCACCGCUGGGGCCUCCCCUCCGUGCAGGGAGGCGCUCACGCUUCGCCAGGCCGAGACCUGAAUCCAACCCCACACCCGCUCUCCCGGAGCGGUGCGGGGUACGUUCCCCGCGGGCCUGCGCUGCCUGCCCGUACCGAAACCAGGCGAGACCCCGGGGCCUGGCUACAGGGGUUCAUCCCCAGCCAGGCCCACAGCCAAGCGGAGGCGUCUUCUGUUUUCGUAUUCCCUAUUAGAAGUUUGACAACAGGAGGCAUUCAAUAAAUGCACAUCAACGAGGGAAAGCAUGUAACAAUAGAAAACACACAAGCAUUAGCAGCACGCGGCUAAAGAGCGAGGAGGAAGGGAGGAAUGUACAGGUGCUGCUGUGUCCCGAAUUAAGCAGGGCGGUUUGGAGAAGACUUCACAAAUGGAGCCAGUUAAUGAAGCAAGCGGAAGGAAUAUCGUUUGGCGAGGAUAAGAUGAAUGGAGACCCUCUCGGGGAAGGAGGAGUCUCCCCCAAACAUCCUUGAGCUCAGUCUGUCUUGAAAAACCAGUUGAUAUCCUGAACAGAAUGGGUCUGGAGAAUGAGGCCCCCACUUCCGGGGCCAGUUCGAGGACUAUCUAGCUGUGUGAUCUUGGGGAAGUCUCUUGGUCUCAGAUGGUGGUUGAACUAAUGACCUUUUAUGACACCCCCAGUUCUAUAAAUCAUUGAGUCUUCCUACUCCUAACUCCUUGCCUUCUCUAAUGCCUGAAUCGGAAACAAGAGAAAAAGACAAGAAGUAGGAGAUGAGAAAAAUAAGGCAAUACUUUUUUUUUUUUUUUUUUUAGUUUAGGAGCGGAAGUUUAUAGGCAAAAGAAAAGGGAGAACAGCUGUCUCUCUUGCGAGAGAGAGGAGUGACCGAAUGGGACUUCUCAGAAAGCAAUACUUUUAACCUUCUGCUCAAGUAAAAGUGAGAGGGUACAAAAGCAGGAAGGAGUUCCACAUGACUAGUUAUUCCAGCCCACAGUGUUGAAUUUCCAUAGCACAGAAAGUCCAAUGAUAACAAAGCGUCCUGGAAUCUUUUCUAAGUACCAUGCCUCUGUGCUGUCCAGACACCUCAACAUAAAGGUCGAGGGAGAAACUGACCUUGGAGAGCUGGGACCUUUGCCUAAGCACAUCUUCAGAAUAGUCUCUGAAGGCCUGAACAGAGAGGCCUGCCCCACAUUACUUUCACCCUGAGUGUUUUUCCAAGAUGGUCUGAACCUUCCUGACACCGUCUCUCCUGGCCUGACGCACAUCGGCUCGUCCCUCGGGGUCCACUGAAUCCAGGGCCAGCAGCUCUUUGGUCAAAUACUCUUCGAUCAUCAGGUGUGAAGCUGAACAGAUUCAGACGGAGCUGAGAGGCAAGCAUGACUCAGGGUGCAGAUAGGACACGGGAGUUUGUGCCCAGGAACAACGCUGGCACACACCACAGGAUGAUGUGCAGACAGGAAAAUGAGAGGACUUACUGCUUAGGAAUCCUACUAGGAAUGCCUCAAAUCUCAGCUAAGAACCAGAUUAAGAACUAUUUUUUAGCUAUUAAUGCACAGAAUCCAUUGACAUAUCCCUGAGAUGUUUGGCUUCAGGAUUAAAAUGCUGUCUUAAAGCAGCUGCCUUCCUGACUCCUUAUUUCUUUUGAAACUGUGGUGCACGGUGAGGGCAGGCAUGGGGUCUCAUUUUCCUGUCAACAUAGCUCCACAAGCGGUUAAGAUUUAUCCAUAAGCAUUGAACUGAACAAAAUAAUGCACAGCUAUCUCUGUGCUUCUGAAUAGAAAGCCCAGUGUGAAUAAGGAGCAUGGAAAUUAGGCGCCAGAAGGCAGGCCAGGCUUCCGGUCCCAGCUCUGCUCCCUCCACCUGUGUGCAUCUGGAGCAGGCAGGCUGCAGUGUGCCCUUCCGAGCCGUUCCUUAGCUACAAAAAGAAGCCACAUGAUUCCUGCCCUGCCCCACUGAAGAACAGCCCUAUGAGAUGCUGGGGGAUGAUGUGGGGCCAUCACCCUGUCUUUG
rnacentral:lncRNA from 1 species